rnacentral:rRNA from 1 species
UACGAAGGGGGCUAGCGUUGCUCGGAAUCACUGGGCGUAAAGGGCUCGUAGGCGGCCAACUAAGUCGGAUGUGAAAUCCCCAGGCUCAACCUGGGAACUGCAUCCGAUACUGGAUGGCUUGAAUUCGGGAGAGGGAUGCAGAAUUCCAGGUGUAGCGGUGAAAUGCGUAGAUAUCUGGAGGAAUACCGGUGGCGAAGGCGGCAUCCUGGACCGACAUUGACGCUGAGGAGCGAAAGCUAGGGGAGCAAACGGG